rnacentral:lncRNA from 12 species
ACACAAUCCCCAUUUCAUCCUCACUGGAUCCAGUAAGAUCAUUACUGCUGGAUCCCAUUUAACAGACAGAAGAACCAAAGUCAGGAGAGGUUAAAUGUGUAGCCCAAGAGCACAGAGUUAGCAGGUAAAAGGGUCAGGAUGCCAUCCCAGCCUGUGUUCCUACCACUCCCCUAGUGUGCCCAGCAAACAGUGGGAGGAAAUCUGGACAGGAGAGGAGCAGGGCCCAUGCUGGUUCCCCCGUGAUCUCAUCUGUCCCUCCCACCAAGCUGGGAGUUUGCCUCUGUCGCUGCAAGACACUAGGUACAGAGCUGGUGCUUAGACAGUAUCAUGAAUAAAUAUCCUAAGAGCAGGCACUCAUAAGGUGCUUACCCCAUGCUCUGCCACCACCACCCUGUGAGGUCAUACUAUCAUUUUUCCCAUUUCACAGAUAGGGAUGCCGGGACUCGGCUAGUAAGUGGUAAGGUCCUGAUCCACUAGGCAGCAAGUAAAGAAAUAAAUCAGCAAACUCAUUGAUAAACACAAGUUAUGACCUGUGAACAGAUGAGCACAAAGGUAAGUUAAAAAAAGGUAAUAAAAGGUAAGGAGUUGAAGGAGGGACACAGGGAGCUGAGGUGAGAUGCAGUUCUCAGCAGAGUGCCGGAGAGGGGAAGGCCAUUAUGCUCGGCCCACCUGCAGUCCCCAGAAGAGCCUUUUCUCCUCCCAGGGUGGCUUGAGCGCUUGCCAGGAUGUUGCCUAGCAACAGGGCCCUCACCCUGGCCCUGCCCCCUUCCUCCAGGCCAUAGCUGAGCAGUGUAGCCAGCCCCAAGCACUCCCCUCCACCCCAGGACUAGGGACCCUGGCCUCCCAGGGCUCUGAGGCUGAGGGCACUGGAGACACACGGAGAAGACCUGGGAGUGAGCUGGCCCAUCCCCCAGACACUCACUGCAUCAGGACCAGCCUUCCACAUGUGGUCAGAGCUUGCUGCACCUCUGGCCGGUGUGCAGCACAAAGGUAAGGCUGCCAGGGGUCACCUGUUGUCCUCAGACCUUCCCUGUGGACCAGCA